rnacentral:rRNA from 1 species
GGAAUUUUCCGCAAUGGGCGAAAGCCUGACGGAGCGACGCCGCGUGGAGGAUGACGCCCUUCGGGGUGUAAACUCCUUUUCUGUGGGACGAAUGAUGACGGUACCGCAGGAAGAAGCACCGGCUAACUACGUGCCAGCAGCCGCGGUAAGACGUAGGGUGCGAGCGUUGUCCGGAGUUACUGGGCGUAAAGCGCGCGUAGGCGGCUUGGCGCGUCGCACGUGAAAGCCCCCGGCUCAACCGGGGAGGGUCGUGCGAGACGGUCAAGCUGGAGGCAGGGAGAGGCUGGUGGAAUUCCCGGAGUAGUGGUGAAAUGCGUAGAUAUCGGGAGGAACACCGGUGGCGAAGGCGGCCAGCUGGCCCUGACCUGACGCUGAGGUGCGAAGGCGUGGGGAGCGAA